GACGAACGCUGGCGGCGUGCUUAACACAUGCAAGUCGAACGGAAAGGCCCCUUUGGGGGUCCUCGAGUGGCGAACGGGUGAGUAACACAUGAGUAACCUGCCCUUGACUUCGGGAUAACUUCAGGAAACUGGGGCUAAUACCGGAUAGGAAUCCUUGCUGCAUGGUGGGGGUUGGAAAGCUUCGGCGGUUUUGGAUGGACUCGCGGCUUAUCAGCUUGUUGGUGGGGUAGUGGCUUACCAAGGCUUUGACGGGUAGCCGGCCUGAGAGGGCGACCGGCCACAUUGGGACUGAGAUACGGCCCAGACUCCUACGGGAGGCAGCAGUGGGGAAUAUUGCACAAUGGGCGGAAGCCUGAUGCAGCAACGCCGCGUGCGGGAUGACGGCCUUCGGGUUGUAAACCGCUUUCAGCAGGGGCGAAGCUUGUGGUGACGGUACCUGCAGAAGAAGCACCGGCUAACUACGUG
rnacentral:rRNA from 1 species